UCGAGAAUCUUGGGCAAUGGGCGAAAGCCUGACCCAGCAAUUCCGCGUGCGGGAUGAAGGUCUUCGGAUUGUAAACCGCUGUCACUGGGGACGAAUUUUGACGGUACCUGGAGAGGAAGACACGGCUAACUACGUGCCAGCAGCCGCGGUAAUACGUAGGUGUCAAGCGUUGUUCGGAUUUAUUGGGCGUAAAGGGUCCGCAGGGGGUUGGACAAGUCUGAUGUGAAAUCCCAGAGCUCAACUCUGGAACUGCAUUGGAAACUGUCUGACUAGAGUAUCGGAGAGGAGAUUGGAAUUCCAGGUGUAGCGAUAAAAUGCGUAGAUAUCUGGAAGAACACCGAAAGCGUAGGCAGAUCUCUGGACGAUUACUGACCCUCAGGGACGAAAGCAUGGGGAGCAAACA
rnacentral:rRNA from 1 species